rnacentral:rRNA from 1 species
AGAAUCAACGCUGGCGGCGUGCCUAACACAUGCAAGUCGCACGAGAAAGGGGAGCAAUCCCUGAGUAAAGUGGCGCACGGGUGAGUAACACGUGAAUAAUCUACCUCCGAGUGGGGAAUAACUGAGAGAAAUCUUAGCUAAUACCGCAUAACACUUACGAGUCAAAGCAGCAAUGCGCUUGGGAGAGGAGUUCGCGGCCGAUUUAGUUAGUUGGCGGGGUAAUGGCCCACCAAGACGAUGAUCGGUA